UACGAGGGAUCCUAGCGUUGUUCGGAAUCAUUGGGCGUAAAGGGUGUGUAGGCGGCCAUGUAAGUCAGUUGUGAAAUCCCCGGGCUCAACCUGGGAACUGCAUCUGUGACUGCAUAGCUAGAGUACGGUAGAGGGGGAUGGAAUUCCGCGUGUAGCAGUGAAAUGCGUAGAUAUGCGGAGGAACACCGAUGGCGAAGGCAAUCCCCUGGACCUGUACUGACGCUCAUGCACGAAAGCGUGGGGAGCAAACAGG
rnacentral:rRNA from 1 species